rnacentral:rRNA from 1 species
AGUGAACGCUGGCGGUAGGCCUAACACAUGCAAGUCGAACGGCAGCACAGUAAGAGCUUGCUCUUACGGGUGGCGAGUGGCGGACGGGUGAGGAAUACAUCGGAAUCUACUUUUUCGUGGGGGAUAACGUAGGGAAACUUACGCUAAUACCGCAUACGACCUACAGGUGAAAGCAGGGGAUCUUCGGACCUUGCGCGAUUGAAUGAGCCGAUGUCGGAUUAGCUAGUUGGCGGGGUAAAGGCCCACCAAGGCGACGAUCCGUAGCUGGUCUGAGAGGAUGGUCGGCCACACUGGAACGGAGACACGGUCCAGACUCCUACGGGAGGCAGCAGUGGGGAAUAUUGGACAAUGGGCGCAAGCCUGAUCCAGCCAUACCGCGUGUGUGAAGAAGGCCUUCGGGUUGUAAAGCCCUUUUGUUGGGAAAGAAAAGCAGCAGGUUAAUACCCCGCUGUUCUGACGGUACCCAAAGAAUAAGCACCGGCUAACUUCGUG